rnacentral:rRNA from 1 species
CCUACGGGAGGCAGCAGUAAGGAAUAUUGGUCAAUGGACGGAAGUCUGAACCAGCCAUGCCGCGUGCAGGAUGACGGCCCUCUGGGUUGUAAACUGCUUUUAUAGGGGACGAAAAAAGGGGAUUCUUCCUCACUUGACGGUACCCUAGGAAUAAGCACCGGCUAACUCCGUGCCAGCAGCCGCGGUAAUACGGAGGGUGCAAGCGUUAUCCGGAUUUACUGGGUUUAAAGGGUGCGUAGGUGGGUCGGUAAGUCAGCGGUGAAAUCUUCGAGCUUAACUCGGAAACUGCCAUUGAUACUAUCGAUCUUGAAUCGUCUAGAGGUAAGCGGAAUAUGUCAUGUAGCGGUGAAAUGCUUAGAUAUGACAUAGAACACCAAUUGCGAAGGCAGCUUACUAUGGAUGUAUUGACACUGAGGCACGAAAGCGUGGGGAUCAAACAGGAUUAGAUACCCUGGUAGUCCACGCCCUAAACGAUGGAUACUCGACAUUUGAGAUAUACUUUAAAGUGUUNUGAGAGAAGACAUAAGUAUCCACCUAGGAAGUACGAUCGCAGAGUAGUAACGUACAAAUAGAAGUUAGUACGGCGUGAGACGUAGACGACGGACGACGACGAGGGGAGGAGG